rnacentral:lncRNA from 13 species
CUAAGUGUUAACCAACUCAAUAGACCUUCUGCCUUUUUGCAAGGUCAGAGGGCCAGUGUGACAACUUUCUGUAUCCCGAGCUCUUAUCCAGCAUCCCAGAAGUAACUGGUCACACAUGGGCUUGAAGAAUGAAUGUGGGGUUUAUUGAGUGGUGGAGGCAUCUAAGGGCUGAACUCCUUUCCUACCACCCCUAGCUGAACUUUCCUCUUCCUCUCUCUCUGCUGCGUCCUUCUGCCGUCCCUCUGCUUGUCUCCUCAUCUGCUGGUCUGCUCCUGGAGCCUGGGGUUUGGGGUUCAUAUGGGUACAGGUUAGGGAACAUGGCAGGCCAAAAGGCAACUUCUUGGGUGUGAAAACAAGAAUGCCUGUCCUCAUUUAGGGUCACAGGUCUUCAGGCUUGAGGGUGGGGCUCUUGCCAGAAAACCCCACUCUUCUACCUAGUAUUUCUCUGUCUCCUGUCUAUAUCACCUGUAAGAUGCUAGAUGGGUUUUUACAAAGCAUAGGAGCAUCAUUCAAAAGGAUUUUCAGGCAUGUUAAUGAAAUACCAAUAAAGCCAUUGAGACAGAAAUGCAGUUAAGUGAUUCAGGUCUGGAAACCGAAUUUCUGACAAAGGGAAGCUUGUUUAACAGGGUGAUGGCAUUUUUCACUUCCAAACUGUGGACAGCUGUACAGUCUGAAGUGCUCAGGAUAGACUCCGUCAAGCUGAAAGGCAGGAAUCAAGUUUCCCUAAGCCAGGUUGUUGGAGCCCUUUACCUCCUUGGCCAGCCUUUUUAAACUGAAAAAUCAGUUUUAAUUAAAAAAUCAGUUCCAGUGGUUCUCCCAUGCUCAAUAAAAGCAUCUGCACACUCUAACUUUCUUUCAAAUACCUUGCCACUUUUACUCCAGACAGAGCCAACAUAAAAGCUGAGAGAUAAAUCAAAUUUCUUGUCAGAAUAUCAGGUAGGCUGGGGACUGCUGGGGAAAAAAAGGAACCUGCUGUGGACUUCAAUGGCUCGAGAAUUGGCAAAAACAUGUGAAAUGAUUCCUGAAGAGCGCAGAAGACAAGAGAAUGAUCAGAAGAGCAGAAUAAUGGCAGGAACAGCACAGCAGACAGAAGAGAAGGAGCGUCUACACACCGAGAGGAAUUUGACUGAGGACAGUUGGAGAGGAGAUCAGCCACUGGACUGCCAAACUGCAGGGGAAGAUCAUCUUCUCACUCCAUCCCCCUUGCAACUCCCUACCCAUCCUACUAAAAGCCACCUCCACCUUUCAAUAAAGCCCCACAUUCAUCCUUCAAGUCCAUGUGCAACUGGAUUCUUCCAGGAUGCCAGACAUGGACCUGGGUACCAAGAGGGCACUGAGCUAGUUAACACAUAAGCCAUCUGUGGAUGGCAAGACUAAAAGGCACUGUAACACACACUCACUUGGGCUUUAGGAGCUGCAGGCACACACCCCGGACACUACUGUGGGACAGAGCCAGGAGCACUCAACCCGGCUCCUGCACCUGUCCAUAUGCAUGCUCCUCAUCCCUUAUGUGGUUUGAGCACACACAGCAGCUGAACAGGCGAGCCACACCCCCCUCGCACAUCCCACAAAGUUAGUCAGGGAACUCUCCCAUUCACUUUCAUGUCUUAGACCACCCCACUUCCCUAAGCCAUAAAGAUACCUAAGUCUUAUCUUCAGGGAGAUGGACUUGAGAGCUGUUCUCCCACCUUCUCACUUGGCAACCUUGAGAAUAA